CUCUUAUCCUUGCCCAACUGCACCUUCUCCCCACCCUACUUUGGCUACUUCCUUCUCAUAUUUUAGUUUUCAGUUUAGAUAUCACUUCUUCCAGACAGGUUUUCUUUAUUAGCUGCCUAUGAAUUAUAUAUUGCUUUGACUGCUUAGCAUCCUUAUUCCCUCAUAGGACAAUCAACUCCAGUUACCUAAAUCGAUCCAUUCCCACAGUGAGGAUGGCUUUGUGACACUUAAAUAUCUAAGACCAUAGAUCUUGGUUCUUCUGAGUCAGACGUUGUUCUCUGGGCCAAAGACCAAAAUAGCACCAAGACCAAUAUUCUAUAUGGAAAUUGAAGUUCUCCCAACUUGCAGGGUGAGAGGUUAAUGUUGGAUCUAUCCAACAUUAAAUGCUAUCAGUUACAAAAAAAAUAAUAGGCCCUAGAAGAGUUUGGUGAGCCAGAUUAAGAAAAAUAGAGUAUGAGGAGGCCAAAAGGGAAAGCUUGUUUGCCUUUUUCAGAAUUCUGGUGAAAGGAGCACAGAAUACUCAGUUAAGUAAAUAAAACAUCCAAAAUCACCCUGUUGGGACAAGUGAGUGGCUCAGUGGUUGGGUGGCUGCCUUCGGCUCAGGUCGUGAUCCUACAAUCAAGGAUGGAGCCCUGCAUCCGGCUCCUGCAAAGAGCCUCCUUCUCCCUCUGCCUAUGUCUCUGCCUCUCUCUGUGUCUCUCAUGAAUAAAUACAUAAAAACUAAAAGAAAAAUAAAAAUGAUGUUGUAGAAGAGUAUUUAACGUCAGAAA